AUGCCUUUCCAAGCAUUUCUACUUGGAG
rnacentral:piRNA from 1 species